CUGUGAAAUACCCUGCCACAUGAAUAUGCAAAUAACCUGAGGUCUCCUGAGAUAAAUAUAGAUAUAUUGGCGCCCUGAGAGCAUCACAAAACAACCACAUCCCUCCUCUAAAGAAGCCCCUGGGAACACAGCUCAUCACCAUGGACUGGACCUGGAGGCUCCUCUUUGUGGUGGCAGCAGCUACAGGCGGCCAGUCCCAGGUCCAGCUGGUGCAGUCUGGGGCUGAGGUGAAGAAGCCUGGGGCCUCAGUGAAGGUUUCCUGCAAGGCUUCUGGAUUCACCUUUGGCAGCUAUGCUAUCAGCUGGGUGCGACAGGCCCCUGGACAAGGGCUUGAGUGGAUGGGAGUGAUCAUCCCUCUUGUUGGUGUAACAAACUACGCAGAGAAGUUCCAGGGCAGAGUCACGAUUACCGCGGACACGUCCACAAGCACAGCCUACAUGGAGCUGAGCAGCCUGAGAUCUGAGGACACGGCCGUGUAUUACUGUGCGAGAGGCACAGUGUGAAAACCACAUCCUGAGAGUGUCAGAAACCCUGAGGGAGAAGGCAGCUGUGCGGGACUAAGGAGAUGACAGGGGUUAUUAAGUUUAAGAUUGUUUACAAAAUCGGUUAUAUAUUCUAGAAAAAAAGAACAAUAGAAACAAGUACAUACUCUAAUUUUAAGAUAAAUAUUCCACUCAAGAGUUACCACAUAAGCCAAAUUCAUGGAGUGGGAAAGGCCACACUCAAUAAAGUUGAUACAAAC